rnacentral:rRNA from 1 species
UGCUGCAUGGCUGUCGUCAGCUCGUGUCGUGAGAUGUUGGGUUAGUCCCGCAACGAGCGCAACCCUUAUCCCCAGUUGCCAUCAGGUAAAGCUGGGAACUCUGGGGAGACUGCCGGUGAUAAACCGGAGGAAGCGGGGAUGACGUCAAGUCCUCAUGGCCCUUACAUCCCGGGCUACACACGUGCUACAAUGGCAGGUACAGAGGGCUGCGAAGCCGCGAGGUGGAGCGAAUCCCAGAAAACCUGUCUCAGUCCGGAUUGAAGUCUGCAACUCGACUUCAUGAAGGCGGAAUCGCUAGUAACCGCGAAUCAGCAGGUCGCGGUGAAUACGUUCCCGGGCCUU